rnacentral:snRNA from 1 species
UUGCUUGCUUCAGCAGCACAUAUACUAAAAUUGGAACGAUAGAAGAUUAGCAUGGCUUCUGUGCAAGGAUGACACACAAAUUCGUGAAGCGUUCCAUAUACGU